UACAGAGGGGGCAAGCGUUAUUCGGAAUUAUUGGGCGUAAAGGGCGCGUAGGCGGCUUUGCAAGUGGCGGGUGAAAUCCCUCGGCUUAACCGAGGAACUGCCUGUCAAACUGCAUGGCUUGAGACCAGGAGAGGUGAGUGGAAUUCCCAGUGUAGCGGUGAAAUGCGUAGAUAUCAGGAGGAACACCGGUGGCGAAGGCGGAUCUCUGGGCCUUACCUGACGCUGAGGCGCGAAAGCUAGGGGAGCAAACGGG
rnacentral:rRNA from 1 species